CUUCCCUCUCACGCCCAGCUUCCUGGGCCUUUUUGGCAGAUUUCAGGAAGAUAACAGUUGCCAUCCUGGCUGACCUGGAUCCAAGCUGUUAGCUUUCCUUUCAGAUAUGUUAUUGAGAAAUGUAUCAUUUGUAUUUGCCACACUGGAGCUCAUCUGUCUACCACAUUCUCAGAACACUCACAGAGCCUUCCAUUUGCUUUCUGGAAUAAAUCUACUGGAGAGUUACAGAGUUUCUUGAUUUUCUUUGUAAAGUUGACAACAUCAGUGCAUACUCCUGCCUUCAAAACAAUUAUGAAACAAAAAUCUAUGGGGUCAACAUCAACUGCAACAUAACCCCACAUUUGGCCUUGGUGAAACAAAGGAGUACGUAUGUAACUUUUAGUUGACAUUUCCUAGCAUUAAUCUGGUUUCUUAUCCUUGAUAAUAUAUUUGCCAAAGUCUAGAAAAGAUUUUGACAUGAAAUCUAAUCUGUGACCUUUUGAAAAUCAAAAACAUAUAUGCCGUAUUUGAUACAUACCAGAAUAAAGACAAGGACAACAACUAAUGUUGAGAGCUUGCAAUGUAAUGAGGACCCUACUCGGUGAUUACAUGCGUUUUUCUUUUUUAAUCCCUACAGAUACCCUGAGAGGUGAGGAUUACCACCAUUUCAAGUUUAACAACGAGGCUGACAUUACCUGUCGUUCUGUGGUAGAGCCGUGCUCUGAAUUCAGGACUAUGACACAUGUCCAGAUCCACUGUCCAGCAGUCUCAAGAAGGCAGUGCUUAAACUUCCAGAGAAAAAGUGAGGAGCCAAGAAGAUGCCAAGGACAUUAUGCUAAUGUAUAUAAAUACAUACAGAGCCCUCCGCACUGGAAGCUUUGAGCUUCGCAGGUGAGGACAUGACUAAGUGUUUCGUCACCAAGGGCAGACUGGAGAGAGAGGAAUCUGUGCCCCUGCUUGGAAAGAAGGUGGGAUUCUGAGUUCCGUUUCACUUCUGUUCACUCUGGAAUGAGGCUGGCAGGCUUCCUGAGGCUCUGCUCACUUCUUGUUGCUUCCAUCCACGUCGAAGUGAGGUCUAUUGAUUGGCAGCAUUAGUAUCACCUGAGAGCUCAUUAGACCUGCUCAGGUCCCAUCGCUGUGGCCUAACACCCCCUCCACGUGGCUCCUGUGCAUCCUCAAGGCUGAGAAGCACUGGUGUGUGACGUGUAACUUAUUUAGCUGUGAAAGGGAGCUUGAUCAGUGGUGGGAGCUUUCUUCCUGAUUACAUUUUGUAUUUAUACAGUUAUGACCCUUAAUAAAUACUUUAGUCCUUUGACGUUUUAAUAAUUUGAACAUCUUUUUCAAAGUUGUUCUUCAUUGUAAAUGACUGCAUUCUCAUUCUAAAAGCUUCAGAAAAUACAGAAAACUGAGAAGAGGAACUUACCUGUCAGGUAUAUUUACUCAUAACAUUUUAAAGGUAAUUUUAUUUCUAUCUUUUUGGCAUAAUUUUGAAAUUUUCAUGUUUUCCCUGAUUGUGGGCAUUAUAUAUGAUCCUUGUGAAAAACCAAGAAACUAGGAGAAAGCGUAAAACAGAAUGGAAACCGUCCUAUAUAUUUAGAUUUUGGUGUUUAACAUUGUGUUAUAAAAUGGUACUUUAUAGUCUUUGCUUCUU
rnacentral:lncRNA from 9 species